CGUCUUACACUGCUGUGCUAC
rnacentral:miRNA from 1 species